rnacentral:rRNA from 1 species
CGAGUCGUGAGUCUUAGGGACUCGGCAUACUGCUCAGUAACACGUGCAUUUCCUGCCCUAUCGUCUGGAAUAACCUCGGGAAACUGAGAACAAGGCCGGAUAGUUCACAAUGCCUGGAACGGUUUGUGAAUCAAGGUAGGAUGGGUCUGCGGCGUAUCAGGUUGUAGGGGGUGUAACGGACCCCCUAGCCAUCGACGCGUACGGGUGUUGGGAGACAUAGCCCGGAGAUGGAUUCUGAGACACGAAUCCAGACCCUACGGGGUGCAGCAGGCGCGAAAACUUCACACUGCAGGAAACUGUGAUGAGGGAACUCCAAGUGUGUGCGUUUUACGUACACUUUUCUGAACUCUUAAUCGGUUCAGGAAUAAGGGCUGGGAAAGACCGGUGCCAGCCGCCGCGGUAAUACCGGCAGCUCAAGUGGUCGUCGCUUUUAUUGGGCCUAAAACGUCCGUAGCCUGUUUGGUAAAUCUGUGGGUAAAUCAACCCGCUCAACGGGUUGAAUUCUGCAGAGACUGCCAGACUAGGGACCGGGAGAGGUGUGGGGUACUCGAGGGGUAGAGGUAAAAUUCUGUCAUCCUUCGAGGACCACCAGUUGCGAAGGCGCCACACUGGAACGGAUUCGACGGUCAGGGACGAAGCCUAGGGGCACGAACCGGAUUAGAUACCCGGGUAGUCCUAGGUGUAAACGCUGUGAACUUGGUGUCGGGGAUCCGUAAGGGGUCCCCGGUGCCGGAGUGAAGAUGUUAAGUUCACUGCCUGGGGAGUACGGUCGCAAGGCUGACACUCAAAUGAAUUG